UACGUAGGCAGCAAGCGUUGUUCGGAGUUACUGGGCGUAAAGGGUGUGUAGGCGGUUCUUUAAGUUUGGUGUGAAAUCUCCCGGCUCAACCGGGAGGGUGCGCCGAAUACUGAGGGACUUCGAGUGCGGGAGAGGAAAGUGGAAUUCCUGGUGUAGCGGUGAAAUGCGUAGAUAUCAGGAGGAACACCGGUGGUGUAGACGGCUUUCUGGACCGUAACUGAUGCUGAGACACGAAAGCGUGGGUAGCAAACAGG
rnacentral:rRNA from 1 species